UACAGAGGUCUCAAGCGUUGUUCGGAUUUAUUGGGCGUAAAGGGCGCGUAGGCGGCGGGGUAAGUCGGGUGUGAAAUCUCCGGGCUUAACCCGGAAACUGCCAUUGAUACUAUUCGUCUUGAAUGUUGUGGAGGUAAGCGGAAUAUGUCAUGUAGCGGUGAAAUGCUUAGAUAUGACAUAGAACACCGAUAGCGUAGGCAGCUUACUACACAAAUAUUGACACUGAGGCACGAAAGCGUGGGGAUCAAACAGG
rnacentral:rRNA from 1 species